rnacentral:tmRNA from 1 species
GGGGCUGAUCGGUUUCGACGUUGAGACCGGAGGCUGGAUCGUGCGACCAGAGUUGCCUCAGACUCUUUAAACGGGGGCAAAAAUAGAACCGCCGAUGGCGAGUUCGCUCUCGCGGCCUGAUAACUCAGACCAAAGAGAGACACAGUGACCAGUAAUGGCGCACGGGGCCAUCUCACUGCAGCCCGGCAACAGAAGCAGAGAGUGACAGCCUGAAAGAAGGCUGACGGUGGGAAAGACCACUGACAUCGGAGAAAGAUCCGGCGGCGGGACUUCGGUCCCAACCGACCCGGCGGAGUGGCAGCCGUAAGCCACAAAACUCGGGAAUGGUCGUAGCGCGGACAGUCAUCACUUAGCGGACGGGGGUUCGAUUCCCCCCAGCUCCACGA